AGCCCAAACAAUGCUGAAACCCUGGAAAUCUGCUGGCAGUGACUAAUGCUCAUCUCCUUCCCCCUCUGUGCUGUGGUCCUGUUUACCCAAGGUGCAGAUGAUUACCUGGUUUUACCCACAAUACUCAAGCAAAAUGAUUCUGCACUUUGGAAAGACACCUGGCUGCUCACCUCAGCACAUCCUGAUGCUGCCUCUUAUCAGGAAAAAAAACAGCUCGGUAAGUUCUCCUUGUUGUAAUAUUUUGGGUGGAGGCCUCUUUGAAAAUGCUCCUGAAAUCAUGAGAUCACCUCAGCCCACCUUAUCUGGAGUGGAUAAAGGCAAGCAUCUGGUGCAAGUGGUAUUGAAACUCUCUUCUAAGGCAUGAUUGAAAAACUUCAGACGCCAAGCCUCAAGCUACAGCAGGAGCAAAUACCAUCCCCAUUUCACAGAAGGGUAAACUAGCUGACAGAAGCUGAUGUGUUGUUGGUUAUUAUACAGUUAGUAGCAGGGGUAGAGGAGUGAGUGGAGAGCAGCCUCUAACUUCAUCUCAAGCUUCUGUAGAAGGAUGGCAGAGAGGGAGGAAGAGGAGGGAAAAGACAUGGAGAGGUAGUAAAGAAAGCAAGGCACCAUCUAACUUCCCAACUGAUGCUUGGCAGCUGAACACAUUGCUAAGCAUCAUGGCUAUCUUGAGAACACCUUGUGAUAAGUACAUCGGGGUCAUUGUUUUGGAAGAGGCUGAAGUGAUGAAAACUCACUGGAGGGCUGCGGAUAGAGGGAAGUGCUGGGAAGGAAGCCAGCACCUCCGGCACUGGAAAGCUGGAGGCUCUCCAAGUGACGUGUAUGGUGAGCCAGGGACUAUCCUGCUCAUGGGCCUAUUUGUCACACUAAACUAGAUUAUCACCCUAUAUGCUUAUAAAUCCUUCCACAAAUAUACUCCAGGAUUACGGAUGUGGCGUGCAGGCAACUGGCAAGGAGGUUUCUGACUCAUGAAAACAGAGCUCCAACCAUUCCCCUUCCAUUCAGUAUUUUGGGGUUGACACUUCUUGUGGUUGACCUCUCCCUUACAUAUCCAUUUCCCCACUGUUCUCAUCCAUGCAGAGUUCAUCUUGUUGGCUGCAGUGUUCCACCUAAGUGAACUGGUAGAUGACCCAUCUUUGGAGACAUUCAAGCUCAGGCUGGUUGGGGCUCUGAGCACCUGAUCAAGCUGUGGGUGUCCCUGUUCAUUGCAGGGGAAUUGGACCAGAUGGCCUUUAAGGGUCCCUUCCAACCCAAAUGAUUCUAUGAGCUGGGAGCCUGAGUUGUUCAUAUCUGCCUUCCUCCCACUGCCACCAACACAGACAAAUCACUGUUAUUAUUAUCAGAUACUGCUAGUAUUGAGAACAGUUAAACAGUUUUCACAGAAUAUAAUCAUCUCAAUUGAUGCUGAAUUUGAAGUUUCCAGUAUUAAAUCAGCAUCGAAACAUGCAAUUCUGAUUUCAGUUCUAUUUUUAUUUGCAUGAGGAAAAUCUGAAGAUGAUGUGGGAAAAACCUGUUUGUUCUGGUGGUCUCAUGCUCUGGAGUUACUUCUGCGGAUCUGAAGAUGUCCUCCUGCCAGAGGUCUCUGAAGAGCACUGUAAAGACACAGUGCAGAGACAACCCUGCAAUUCCAAGCCAGCUUCAUCAUUAUCCUUCUGCUCCUCAGAUAAAUCCAAGACCCUAGGAUGUGAAGUAUUGGGAGGAAAAAAUAGAGGCAUGGCGAGGAAACAGCAGAAAAUUGUUCAUAAUCAGGUCAAAACAUUGCUGGGCAGUGAUUCUGUUCCUGUGUACCACCAAGCUCUUCUUGCACCCGCUAAAAUCUAGUGGAAGCUGUUAAAUUUUGCGUAACAUCCAACUUAGUUCUGCCAGACCUCUGUGAAGAGGAAGCAACAGGUUGAGUGUGAGCAGAGGGACUGCACAUCUCGAGUACUGAAGUUGACUCAUUACUCUGCAAUACAGUCACCGGAGCCAUGUGGGGAUAGAAGACAAAGUGAUGAAUCAGGCCCAGCGUUUGCUGCAAGUUUAGAGUGCUGUCUGGUUGGCAAAUAGCUCUGAAACCAGUCCCAGUGCUGCAUUCUGCCAAGGCUUCCAUCGCAGAUAUGAAGAAGUCUGGAAAGCCACCUCCACGCUCUGAUGCAGCACUACAGCAGAGCCCUGAAGUGGCAGCUGUGAAAUGCAGAACAGCCAGACAAAGCUGAUAACAUGUUUGUACAGCCCAGGGUGUCAGGAGGAAUCAGCUCCACGGAGCAGACAAGGAGGCAGAGAAGUGAAGUUUUAGGUUCUCUCCUUGGUUUGCUACAUUGCAAAGCAAGCUGUCCUCAAGUCCUCUGGGAAGCCUUUCUGCACAACAAUUAUCCCUCUCUUCGAGUCUGAAAGGGGAAUACUGGCGAGGUUCAGAGAAACACUGAAAGGUUCUUGCAUUAAGGACUUCAGAGUGUGACCCUGCGAAUGCCAGAGGCCAGCUAGCAUCUUCCUCCAGAAGCACAUAUCGGGUCUUGACCACAGAGGGUGGUUAGUGUGCAGCACUGCAGUACACACAACCCAACCUGCUGCAAAAUUACUCCCCCAGAUGGAUCCCCUCCACUAAGGACAAUAUAAGUCAGACAUUAGAAGGUGGGGCACAAUGCUGCGCUUGGGAAGAUGCUUUCCUUCGAAAUAAGGCUGAGCUACAAGGAAAACUGCCUGCAGAAGAGCUUUGCUGAAUUUAAGGUAUGGAAGAACGAGAGAUUCAUGGCAUCUCUUAGGCAGAUGAAUAAAUUAUAGUUUUUGAUAUAUUUUCAAAGGUGUCGUUUGGCAAUUUAUAUCCAUGAAAUGUAAAUGCCUCUGACUUCUGCCAUAGAAAGAAAUCAACA